rfam:Myotis davidii contig116174, whole genome shotgun sequence.
AGGACUGGAGAGAGAAGCAGGGUCUGAUCUGCAGCCUCCAUGGCAGCUAUUGAUCAGCCCUUGCCUCUCUCUGUCGCUCUG